UCCAGACUCCUACGGGAGGCAGCAGUGGGGAAUAUUGCACAAUGGGGGGAACCCUGAUGCAGCGAUGCCGCGUGGAGGAAGAAGGUUUUCGGAUUGUAAACUCCUUUUAUCAGGGACGAUAAUGACGGUACCCACAGAGGAAGCACCGGCUAACUCCGUGCCAGCAGCCGCGGUAAUACGGAGGGUGCAAGCGUUGUCCGGAAUCAUUGGGCGUAAAGAGUUCGUAGGCGGUAUGUUAAGUCUGGUGUUAAAUGCAGAAGCUCAACUUCUGUUCGGCACUGGAUACUGGCAAACUAGAAUGCGGUAGAGGUAAAGGGAAUUCCUGGUGUAGCGGUGAAAUGCUUAGAUAUCAGGAGGAACAUCGGUGGCGUAAGCGCUUUACUGGGCCGUAAUUGACGCUGAGGAACGAAAGCCAGGGUAGCAAAUGGGAUUAGAUACCCGCGUA
rnacentral:rRNA from 1 species